rnacentral:rRNA from 1 species
CGCGUGCAGGAUGACGGUCCUAUGGAUUGUAAACUGCUUUUGUACAGGAAGAAACACUGGUUCGUGAACCAGCUUGACGGUACUGUAAGAAUAAGGAUCGGCUAACUCCGUGCCAGCAGCCGCGGUAAUACGGAGGAUCCAAGCGUUAUCCGGAAUCAUUGGGUUUAAAGGGUCCGUAGGCGGUUUAGUAAGUCAGUGGUGAAAGCUCAUCGCUCAACGGUGGAACGGCCAUUGAUACUGCUAGACUUGAAUUAUUAGGAAGUAACUAGAAUAUGUAGNGUAGCGGUGAAAUGCUUAGAGAUUACAUGGAAUACCAAUUGCGAAGGCAGGUUACUACUAAUGGAUUGACGCUGAUGGACGAAAGCGUGGGUAGCGAACAGGAUUANAUACCCUGGUAGUCCACGCCGUAAACGAUGGAUACUAGCUGUUGGGGCGCAAGUUCAGUG